rnacentral:tRNA from 1 species
CAAAUUAUAGCAUAUAUUAAUGUUUUUUAUUUACACUAAAAAGAAAUUUGAUUUAAUUUGA